CGGGGUAUUGUGUAAGGGCUGGCAUCCGUGCCUUGGGAGCACGUGGUUCGGGUUCAAAUCCCGGUGCCCCGACCA
rnacentral:tRNA from 1 species